rnacentral:rRNA from 1 species
GGUUAAGUGACUAAGCGUACACGGUGGAUGCCUUGGCAGUCAGAGGCGAUGAAGGACGUAUUAACUUGCGAUAAGCCCAGAUUAGGCAGUAAAAGCCACUUGAGUCUGGGAUUUCCGAAUGGGGAAACCCACUUACAUAAGUAAGUAUCAUUAACUGAAUACAUAGGUUAAUGAAGCGAACCGGGGGAACUGAAACAUCUAAGUACCCCGAGGAAAAGAAAUCAACCGAGAUUCCGAAAGUAGCGGCGAGCGAAAUUGGACUAGCCCUUAAGCUUUAUAUGCGUUAGACGAACGGUCUGGAAAGUCCGGCGAUACAGGGUGAUAGCCCCGUAGUUGACAACGCAC